CCCCGCCCCGCGAGGCCACCAGGCCGGGCGCGGGGGGCGCACAGCAUACAGAUUCUCUCUCCUCACCACGCGGCUGCUGCUGGAGGAUGGAGGAGGGGUGGUGUCAGCAAUUCAAGACUGUCUUUCCUACCCUCUUCAGUGCCCUUCCUUGAUAAGCUGUUUAAACCAGUGAUCAAAGUUUAUCUCUUUUUGUUUCUGAUCGAAAAAGAAAGACACAAAGAAAUUCCCUAACACAAUGUGUAUAUUCAAUUGCAGGGAUGCAUGAAAACUUUUAUGGAUUCUUAGCAAGACAGCUGGCUCUUCAUGGAAGUGUGUAAAACAAAUAAUAACAGUGAACCUGGAGACAUCCUCUGCACUUACAAAGGACCAGCUCCUGUGACCUCUUCUGAGAAGACCACCCCCACCUGCUGUCUCUGAGCACUUUGAACUCACUCCCUUGUCUCCACGGUGGCACUCAACACCUUGCAUCACAUGUGGUACCUUGCAUGUCUGUGUCCUCUAGGGAUGUGUGUUAUCAUCUCUGAAAACCCAAUGACAUGCAGCAUGGUGCCUAGGUCAGUGAAUAUUUGUUGAUUAACUAGACUCAACACUCGUUGCCAUGGAGAUGAAGCAAUGUACUGCUUUUACUUGUAGGAAUCCAAAGCUGGAUCUAGUUUUCUGUUUUUGUCUUUUUAAAAUGAACUAAACUCCAUACUUUCUAGUUUUGAAUGUUUAACUGACGCAGGAAUGGCUGAAUGGUUUUGAAAUUGAACUAAAGAGCUUUAGUUCAAAGGCAGCCUUGAACCAGUUUCCUUCCAGUCCUGAUGAAGUAAUAUGCUUGUGCCUUAAAUCUGUUUAUUUUCUUCAGAUGCUCCAGUAUGCCAUUUGAAAGCCUUCCAAAUGGAAUCCAUACUCUUUGAGACUGCCUUGGUUUUUGUUUCGUUAAU
rnacentral:lncRNA from 1 species